rnacentral:rRNA from 1 species
AGGACGAACGCUGGCGGCGUGCUUAAUACAUGCAAGUCGAACGGGGCCCAACCAGUGGCAACACUGGGGAAGGUCUAGUGGCGAACGGGUGAGUAACACGUGAGCAACCUGCCCCGAAGACCGGGAUAAGCCGAGGAAACUUGGUCUAAUACCGGAUGUCCUCCCUGAGUCGCAUGGCUCGGUGAGGAAAUGGAUUCCGCUUCGGGAGGGGCUCGCGGCCUAUCAGCUUGUUGGUGGGGUAACGGCCUACCAAGGCAACGACGGGUAGCUGGUCUGAGAGGACGAUCAGCCACACUGGGACUGAGACACGGCCCAGACUCCUACGGGAGGCAGCAGUAGGGAAUCUUGCCCAAUGGGCGCAAGCCUGAGGCAGCAACGCCGCGUGGGGACGAAGGCCCUCGGGUCGUAAACCCCUUUCAGCAGGGACGAAAUUGACGGUACCUGCAGAAGAAGCCCCGGCAACUACGUGCCAGCAGCCGC